CCUACGGGAGCCAGCAGUGGGGAAUUUUGGACAAUGGGCGAAAGCCUGAUCCAGCAAUGCCGCGUGCAGGAUGAAGGCCUUCGGGUUGUAAACUGCUUUUGUACGGAACGAAAAAGCUUCUCCUAAUACGAGAGGCCCAUGACGGUACCGUAAGAAUAAGCACCGGCUAACUACGUGCCAGCAGCCGCGGUAAU
rnacentral:rRNA from 1 species